UAUUCAGUUAAAGUGACUGCACUUCAGCUCUCAUGGUGUGGAGUCCAAACCUUUGUCCAUCUAAUCUCAGGUUUCCCUCUUUUUCAGAGGAAGAAAGGUCCCCUGGACUUGAUAUGAGAGUAGAAGUCUGCUUGCUGGGCAUCGUUUGAAGACAGAGAGUGAGCUACUUAGGUUGGACCCAUGUGGAUAAGAGAGGAGACAAACACUAUGGGCUAGGCUAGAAGAACAUACACUGAGUCCUUUCCAGGAAUCUGCUAGAGCAAAGUGAGGUGGAAUUGGAAAGGAUUUCAGGGGUUCUUGGAAGCCCAGAAAAAGGAGCUGAACAUGCCUUUGCCAGAAAGCCACAAGCGGGAAACCUCAAAGACUGGAAGAGGACUUGCUAGGUGCCAUACUUUAUGCGCACUAUCUAAUCCCAGCUUUCCUGGCUGGCUCCAUUUGGUUUCCUUUGACCUUGGGGAGACUCUAUUACUUGGGAAUCCUCCAUCAUUGCAGCUUCAGGAUGAGGGACAGAAUGUCAAGUGUGAAGAUGCUGUUCUGCCACUUUCUAGCUGCAAGACCUUAGGCAAGUCACCUUCCUAUUUCUUUUCAUCUGGAAAAGAAGGAUGGUAAUAGCAAAUCUAC
rnacentral:lncRNA from 1 species